AACGAACGCUGGCGGCAUGCCUAACACAUGCAAGUCGAACGAAGCCUUCGGGCUUAGUGGCGCACGGGUGCGUAACGCGUGGGAAUCUGCCCUUUGGUUCGGAAUAACUCAGGGAAACUUGAGCUAAUACCGGAUGAUGACGAAAGUCCAAAGAUUUAUCGCCAAAGGAUGAGCCCGCGUAAGAUUAGGUAGUUGGUGGGGUAAAGGCCUACCAAGCCGACGAUCUUUAGCUGGUCUGAGAGGAUGAUCAGCCACACUGGGACUGAGACACGGCCCAGACUCCUACGGGAGGCAGCAGUGGGGAAUAUUGGACAAUGGGCGCAAGCCUGAUCCAGCAAUGCCGCGUGAGUGAUGAAGGCCCUCGGGUCGUAAAGCUCUUUUACCCGGGAAGAUAAUGACUGUACCGGGAGAAUAAGCCCCGGCUAACUCCGUGCCAGCAGCCGCAGUAA
rnacentral:rRNA from 1 species